rnacentral:rRNA from 1 species
AGUGAACGCUGGCGGCAGGCCUAACACAUGCAAGUCGAACGGCAGCACGGUCGUAGCAAUACGAUGGGUGGCGAGUGGCGGACGGGUGAGGAAUACAUCGGAAUCUACCUUGUCGUGGGGGAUAACGUAGGGAAACUUACGCUAAUACCGCAUACGAACCAUGGUUGAAAGCGGCGGACCGCAAGGCGUCGCGCGAUUGGAUGAGCCGAUGUCCGAUUAGCUAGUUGGCGGGGUAAAGGCUCACCAAGGCGACGAUCAGUAGCAGGUCUGAGAGGAUGAUCCGUCACACUGGAACUGAGACACGGUCCAGACUCCUACGGGAGGCAGCAGUGGGGAAUUUUGGACAAUGGGGGCAACCCUGAUCCAGCCAUUCCGCGUGAGUGAAGAAGGCCUUCGGGUUGUAAAGCCCUUUUGUCCGGAAAGAAAAGCACGGGAUUAAUACCCUCGUGUGAUGACGGUACCGAAAGAAUAAGCACCGGCUAACUUCGUGCCAGCAGCCGCGGUAAUACGAAGGGUGCAAGCGUUACUCGGAACUACUGGGCGUAAAGCGUGCGUAGGUGGUGCGUUAAGUCUGUCGUGAAAUCCCCGGGCUCAACCUGGGAAUGGCGAUGGAUACUGGCGCGCUAGAGUGAGGUAGAGGAGAGUGGAAUUCCCGGUGUAGCAGUGAAAUGCGUAGAGAUCGGGAGGAACAUCAGUUGCGAAGGCGGCUCUCUGGACCAUCACUGACACUGAGGCACGAAAGCGUGGGGAGCAAACAGGAUUAGAUACCCUGGUAGUCCACGCCCUAAACGAUGCGAACUGGACGUUGGGCUCAAUUGAGAGCUCAGUGUCGAAGCUAACGCGUUAAGUUCGCCGCCUGGGGAGUACGGUCGCAAGACUG